AAGUGGAGAAAGUGGUGAAUCAAGGGUUCCCUACGCAGUCCCUGGACUUGGGAAUGAGCUAUGAAGAUCAAUACAGCUUCCACUAGGUGCCGCAGCAACUGAGCCAAAAAAAAGUCACACCCUCUCUAGGGACAGCCAUGGAGGAGUAGGAGGAAGAAGAAGAGUUUUGGAGGUUUUUUAGCUUUUUUAGCUAAGCAAUGAAGGGGUCCAAUAACCAGAGCUCUGCGGCCCAAUAGAAACAGUUUUACGUUCAAAAACAUUCCUAAAGGUUUUGAAGAACAAUGUUUUCAUAGCAUGAAUUUUAAACUGUUUUAUUAUUGACCAGAACAGACAAGCAAUUUUACAGUUCUACUGCUUAACUGCUGCUUUUCUGCAAGUAUACCCACAGGGCAUUCAGUACAUUAAUGAAGCCGGCACUAGAUAAGACCACCAAUUAAAGUGAAAUCAUUUGCUUACCACCUCAUGCUUUUUAACCCCUACAAAAGAUGUGUGUCCUCCUGCAGUUUUAAGGAACACACCCAAUUCAAAAGGUAUUUGUUACUUCAGACACGUUAUUCUCAAUAAUUCAGUCUGCAUGCAUGCUGACCCUCAGAUGCAAAUUGAGAUUCUAUUUCUCUUGAAUUGUAAACUGCUCCAAGUUCUCUUUAACUUGAAGAGACACUUCUUUAAAAAAUAUAUGAGUUGAUGUACUUAAAAAGAAGUUGAAAGGAAGAUUCAAGCGGAUUAACUUCAUUGAAGGGGCUUGCAGGCGUAUUAAAACUGCAAGAACCAAAGUUCAGAUAAAAGGUACACCACAGGUUGCACGAAAGGCAUGAUGUCCAAGAAGAUGUCAGUAUAGUUAACAAGUAGAGUCUGUCAAGGAUGCUAUAAAAGAAAGUCUUCAUUUGAAGGAAUGAUAAUGUAGGGCAAAGCCAGGACUGGGUGCACAAAUUUUGGCAAAAUACAUACAAGUUGACAGGCAAGUGGGGAAAGGGAAUCUCAGGAGCAUAUUGUUUAAAAACAUUAAGAAAGAAAACAACUCAUUUAAAUGUAUCAGAAUCAGGAAAUUAGCCAGGGAGUUGUUUGGAUCUUAGAGGGCAAGGGGGGUAGGGAUAGGUUGAGAGGUAAUACAGAAAAACUGAACAAAGUAUUUGCAUCUUCACUGCAGAAGUGGAAAGGUGGAUACUAUAUAUGGACAGGUUUCUUUUCCUGAGGAGUGAGUGAAUCUGAAGGACGGAGUCAAAGGUGCCAAGAGAAGCUGAAGGAGUUACCGACGAGUUAAUGAUUAGCAAAUCUCCGUGUCUGCAUAUCAUACAGGAAGAGAUCCAGGAAAUAACUGAAUAGUUAUUUUGAUGUCUGUUCCAGGUAAAUCUAGUUGUAGGCAGAUCUUUGAAGGAGAAAACCUGGAAAAAUUGCUAUGGCUGUAUGGGACAAGCCACAGCUGCAAGAAUGUUAUGUGCCCAAAAAUGGAAGGAAGAAGAGGUAUUGACAAGAGAAUAAUGGAGACAAAAGUUAAUGGACUAUGGAGAAAUGGCAAAACCUACAGGGAGAAUAAGAAAUCAAGAUAACCAUUUUUUUUUUGAAAGGAAUGGAAAUGGUUUAUUGAGUAUUUACAAACGAACUGUAAACAGAUUAACACAUUGGCAGAAUUAAUGUAAAAACCUGCAGUUUCAAAAUAUAUAU